rnacentral:rRNA from 1 species
UGGGGAAUAUUGGACAAUGGGCGAAAGCCUGAUCCAGCCAUGCCGCGUGUGUGAAGAAGGUCUUCGGAUUGUAAAGCACUUUAAGUUGGGAGGAAGGGCAGUAACCUAAUACGUUGCUGUCUUGACGUUACCGACAGAAUAAGCACCGGCUAACUCUGUGCCAGCAGCCGCGGUAAUACAGAGGGUGCAAGCGUUAAUCGGAAUUACUGGGCGUAAAGCGCGCGUAGGUGGUUUGUUAAGUUGGAUGUGAAAGCCCCGGGCUCAACCUGGGAACUGCAUUCAAAACUGACUGACUAGAGUAUGGUAGAGGGUGGUGGAAUUUCCUGUGUAGCGGUGAAAUGCGUAGAUAUAGGAAGGAACACCAGUGGCGAAGGCGACCACCUGGACUGAUACUGACACUGAGGCACGAAAGCGUGGGGAGCAAACAGGAUUAGAUACCCCUGUAGUCCCUGAGCGGGCUGGCAAGGCGCAU